rnacentral:rRNA from 1 species
UACGUAGGGUGCAAGCGUUAAUCGGAAUUACUGGGCGUAAAGAGCGCGCAGGCGGUCGUUCAAGUCGAGUGUGAAAGCCCCCGGCUCAACUGGGGAGGGUCACUCGAUACUGGUCGACUCGAAGGCAGGAGAGGGAAGUGGAAUUCCCGGUGUAGUGGUGAAAUGCGUAGAUAUCGGGAGGAACACCAGUGGCGAAGGCGACUUCCUGGCCUGUUCUUGACGCUGAGGCGCGAAAGCUAGGGGAGCAAACGGG